rnacentral:rRNA from 1 species
UACAGGGGGGGCAAGCGUUGUUCGGAAUUACUGGGCGUAAAGCGCACGUAGGCGGCUUUGUAAGUUAGAGGUGAAAGCCCGGGGCUCAACUCCGGAAUUGCCUUUAAGACUGCAUCGCUAGAAUUGUGGAGAGGUAAGUGGAAUUCCGAGUGUAGAGGUGAAAUUCGUAGAUAUUCGGAAGAACACCAGUGGCGAAGGCGACUUACUGGACACAUAUUGACGCUGAGGUGCGAAAGCGUGGGGAGCAAACAGG